GACGAACGCUGGCGGCGUGCCUAAUACACGCAAGUAGAACGCUGAAGAGAGGAGCUUGCUCUUCUUGGAUGAGUUGCGAACGGGUGAGUAACGCGUAGGUAACCUGCCUUGUAGCGGGGGAUAACUAUUGGAAACGAUAGCUAAUACCGCAUAACAAUGGAUGACACAUGUCAUUUAUUUGAAAGGGGCAAUUGCUCCACUACAAGAUGGACCUGCGUUGUAUUAGCUAGUAGGUGAGGUAAUGGCUCACCUAGGCGACGAUACAUAGCCGACCUGAGAGGGUGAUCGGCCACACUGGGACUGAGACACGGCCCAGACUCCUACGGGAGGCAGCAGUAGGGAAUCUUCGGCAAUGGGGGCAACCCUGACCGAGCAACGCCGCGUGAGUGAAGAGGGUUUUCGGAUCGUAAAGCUCUGUUGUAAGUCAAGAACGGGUGUGAGAGUGGAAAGUUCACACUGUGACGGUAGCUUACCAGAAAGGGACGGCUAACUACGUG
rnacentral:rRNA from 1 species